rnacentral:rRNA from 1 species
AUUGAACGCUGGCGGCAUGCUUUACACAUGCAAGUCGAACGGUAACAGGCCGCAAGGUGCUGACGAGUGGCGAACGGGUGAGUAAUGCAUCGGAACGUGCCCAGUCGUGGGGGAUAACGCAGCGAAAGCUGCGCUAAUACCGCAUACGAUCUAUGGAUGAAAGCGGGGGACCGUAAGGCCUCGCGCGAUUGGAGCGGCCGAUGUCAGAUUAGGUAGUUGGUGGGGUAAAGGCUCACCAAGCCGACGAUCUGUAGCUGGUCUGAGAGGACGACCAGCCACACUGGGACUGAGACACGGCCCAGACUCCUACGGGAGGCAGCAGUGGGGAAUUUUGGACAAUGGGCGCAAGCCUGAUCCAGCAAUGCCGCGUGCAGGAAGAAGGCCUUCGGGUUGUAAACUGCUUUUGUACGGAACGAAAAGGCUCUGGUUAAUACCUGGGGCUCAUGACGGUACCGUAAGAAUAAGCACCGGCUAACUACGUGCCAGCCGCCGCGGUAACAC